GGGCACUGUCACAGGCAAUGUGCUGGUAGGCACUGCAGGAGCUCCAGGGAAGAAUGGAAACUCUAUGGGAAAUAUGGGAAAAGCAAUCCUGGACAGCUUCAAGGAGCAAGGCAAACUUGAGCUCAGCCUUCAAGCAUGGGUAGAAUUUGGACUCAAGGAAGGACACAGGGAAUAUUAAAAGCAAAGAAGCUCUUUAUGACUACCAAUGAAGACAUUAACCUGACCAGAGAGGAGGAUACAGAGCUGAGAGAUGGAUCGGCCUUCCCCGUGGAGCACUCUGAGACAUGUCAUAGCUCAUUGACAUCUCGCAAUACAGGUCAAAAAGGUACAUCCCAGCCUUCUUGCACAUAGAAACACUACACAGCACUUCAGCUGUAUGUUUGGGGGCCAUUUUAAACAGCAAAAUCAUCAACAGGAAGCAGAAAAUUGUAAAAAUUGUGGCACUAAAUAGACCAUGUAAAGGACACAUGUUUGCAAUAAGAAAGCUGAAACAAGAAGGGGGAGUGUCACCUUAUUUGAUCCAGCUAGAAACUCAGGUGCUGGUAUUCCAGCAACACUCAGGCGGCUGCUCCAGGAGGCUGCAGAGGGGUCCUUUUUAGCCGUCAACAAAACUGGCUAUGGUCACGCCCAUUGGGAAACUCAUUGCUGCCUUCAAGUUAGGUUCUGUCAAUAGAAGAUACUAAAGAAAGAAAGCCAGGAGAAGAAAAGGGACUUCUUUCUUCAAGGUCUAAGCUGUUCUAAUAGCAUUAUUCUGGGAAUGGCAUCUUCCACUCCUCCUAGUACAAAGAACCUGCUUCCUCAUACCCCGUCAAGGAACUGCAGCAUCCAGGUACUUUCUCUGCCUCAAAGGUCUGCAUCCCAUUCUCCAUUUGGCCCCUCCUUUGAACUACCAGAUCUCCGGCUGGAUUGCCUUUUUGUUCUGGAAUUUUCUAAAUUUCUUUAUUAAAUUUCCCAGUUGAAAUUC
ensembl:lncRNA LINC01905 long intergenic non-protein coding RNA 1905